AGCGCCCAUUAGAUUAAACAUUUGAUGGGUCACUCUUUGUUGGUGGCUGCUACGUGAACCGCAGGCUAAAUUUAAACGAUUCAUCUGUCUCUCUCAUCUAAUUUGCCAAAAUUUGCCUGCCUUAAUAUCGGUCACAGCUCUCCGGAGCUGAUCACACCACAACCAAAUUCUACCGUCGGAGCUUGGGAAAUCUGAUUUCCCAGCCUUUCGCGGUGAAAUUCUCACUUUCCUUUUGUCUAUUUCUCCGGUGAGAAUUCCACCGGAAUAUUCUACAGAAUGUUCUCAUUCGCUUUCGCUGUGGCUGCUUUUCUCUCUUUCGCUCGAAUUUCAAUUUUGUUCUCAAUUACAAAGCUCGGUUUCUUCCUGGAGGAAGAGAAACUCUAUCCUCGAUUUCUUUGCCACCAUUUUUUCCUUUUCUUUUUCUUUCACUUCAAUUUUGACAAUAGAUUAGCAAUUCUUAGUAAUUUCGUUUUCAUCGUUUGUUUUUUCUUUGUCCCUAUAAUUUGGAUUUUGUAGUUUAUUUAUUUAUUUGAUGUGUUGCAGACUUUGAGUGGAUUUGGUGCGGGAAAUGCAAUUGAGGAAAUCAUGAAAAAGGUGACAAGGAAGGUGGGUAAGUAUGAAGUCGGCCGGACCAUUGGCGAAGGGACUUUCGCCAAGGUUAAAUUUGCACAGAACAUGGAGACAGGAGAGAGCGUAGCCAUGAAAGUCAUGGCCAAAAGCACCAUUCUUAAGCACAAAAUGGUUGAUCAGAUUAAAAGGGAGAUAUCUAUCAUGAAGAUUGUCAGACAUCCUAACAUAGUUAUGCUGCACGAGGUCUUGGCAAAUCGGACGAAGAUAUAUAUUAUUCUUGAGUUUGUUACUGGAGGAGAACUAUUUGAUAAAAUUGUUCACCAAGGAAGGCUUUCUGAAAAUGAAGCAAGGCGGUAUUUUCAACAGCUUAUAGAUGCAGUUGCUCAUUGUCAUAGUAAGGGUGUUUACCAUAGAGACCUGAAGCCUGAAAACCUACUUCUUGAUUCUGUUGGAAAUUUGAAGGUUUCUGACUUUGGAUUGAGUGCAUUGCCCCAGAAAGGGGUUGGACUUCUUCAUACCACAUGUGGAACCCCAAAUUAUGUUGCCCCUGAGGUGCUUAGCCACCAGGGUUAUGAUGGCGCUGCUGCUGAUGUAUGGUCAUGUGGAGUCAUUCUCUAUGUUCUGAUGGCUGGAUAUCUUCCAUUUGAUGAGGCAGACCUACCGACCUUGUACAAGAAGAUAAAUGCUGCAGAAUAUACUUGUCCAUUUUGGUUUUCUCCGGGGGCAAAGGCAUUGAUAGACAAGAUACUCGAUCCCAAUCCUAAAACUCGUAUACGGAUUGAAGGAAUUAAAAAGAAUCCAUGGUUUGAAAAAAAAUAUGUGCCUGUCAAAUAUAGUGAAGAAAGGGAAGUGAAUCUGGAUGAUGUUCGUGCAGUUUUUGAUGACAUUGAGGACCAAUAUGUGGCAGAACAGUCAGAAAAUAGUGAGAGUGGUCCUCUAAUAAUGAAUGCCUUUGAGAUGAUUACCCUGUCCCAAGGUUUGAAUCUAUCAGCAUUAUUUGACAGGCGACAGGAUUAUGUGAAGCGGCAAACUCGUUUUGUAUCCCGCAAACCAGCAAAAGUUAUAAUAUCAACAAUUGAAGCUGUUGCAGAAUCAAUGAGUCUUAAGGUUCAUACACGUAAUUACAGGACAAGACUAGAAGGAAUCUCUGCAAAUAAGGUUGGACAUUUUGCAGUUGUCCUAGAGGUUUUUGAAGUUGCACCAUCACUUUUCAUGGUAGAUGUCCGAAAGGCUUCUGGUGAUACUCUUGAAUAUCACAAGGUAGCGUUAAACUCUACUCCUGAAUUUUUGUUCAGUCAUCUUCAAAUCAUGCUGCAUAGUGGUAGGUCAUUUAAAUAUCCUCUAUUUAUCACAAGGUAGGCAUUAUACUCCUUAAUUUUUGUUCUGUUGUCUUCAAAUCAUGGUGCAUAUACAUUCUAUAUACAUGUGAUUUAGAUGCAAGCAGCUAUCUAGCCAUGGAAAAAAGUGUUGAACUGAUUCCAAAAUUUCUGUAUAUAUAUGGACAUUAGACAAUUUGCUAGCUGAACUCCAAUUAAAAAUGGGCAGCUUGACUGAAUGAAGCUCCAGCUCAACAGUAUGGGUCUGAUUGUUGGUUCAAAAUAAGCACCUACCCCCUCCCUCCUCACUCACCCCACUACAAGUUGGGGUGAAUCAGGGACUUAGUAAGAUUGUGGUUAAUGCCUUGCCUGAACACAUUAUUUUUUGGGCUUUUCUUUGUCCAUUUAAUGCCCUGGUUCUCAAAAUAUGUACUACCCUUGGUACCAACAACAUUCUUAUCCGCAUUUCACUAGCCAUCGAAUUAGGAUGGUUUGUGUGUUUGCAAUCAUGGGUGCAAGUUGGAGUUUGUGAAUUUUAUUGAUUUUAGAAGAUCACACAUCUCAUGAAAGAUGUCUAAUAUCAUAGCGUUUGAUAUUAUCAUAGCAUUUGAUAUGAUCUAUACAGAAUUAGUAUUGGUUGAUUUUCUGUCUUUCUUGUUUUCAAUCAUUUUUCUUUGUUUGAUUACAUAGUAGAAUCUGAUGAGAUUAUCUGCUACAUAACUGUUAUUACUGGUGACCUAUAUCUUAUGAACUUCUCAUUGCAGUUCUACAAAAACUUCUGUGCUAAACUAGAAAGUAUCAUUUGGAAGCCAACAGAUGGCGUGAAUCCCAGUCUACUUCUCUGAGGGUGUGAAGAUAAUCGUAUGUUUUGCCAUUUGUAUAUUAUGAUCUACUUGCAAGGUGUGAAAUUAUAAUGUUGUAAAAUUGCUAAUCCUGCUAUUAACCAAGUACUUCAUAUGCUCCCUUCCCUCCUCUGUUUUAGGGAGACCUUUUACCCUCGUAUGUAGAAGCAAAUAUGUAAUGAGAAUUCAAUGUUGAGAUAGAGAUGAGCAUGUUAGAUUCCUUGGAGCAACUAUUGCUUACAAAAUUUUAGUGAUUACCCAUUUCUGAAAGGAUUUGGAGCAUAAGCAGCGCUGCUAAAUCACAUCCAAAGUAUAUGAUAUUGGAGUCUGCUUGAGUUGGCUAUUAAAAAAAAAGGCUCCUGAAUUUGUUUAGGGUUUGGUGCUGCACCCAUUUAAUGGCGGUAAAGACAUCCUGAGGUUGAGGCUAAAACUGGGAAGGAACAUUGAGUGGACAGGAGUCGUGCAUCAGCAAAAGCUGCUUGCAGUGCAUCUCGAGGAAAAUGUAUAAAAAAAAUAAAUAAAGAAGAGGGCGGCAGCCAAUGAGUUGGAUUGUUGCUGGCUUUUUGUGUCCAUCGCCAAGUGCAGUCAUAUUCUAUUCUACGCACGUGCACAUCUUAAGCAAAAC
rnacentral:misc_RNA from 1 species